rnacentral:sRNA from 1 species
AUCAACUGAGUAGCAGGAUGCACUCAGGAUCACGGAUGAUCGACCAUAGGCCUGGAUGGCCGCAGACAGGAUGUCGUAUGGUCUUGAGAAACCCGCUUCGGCGGGUUUUUU